AGGUCUUCCAGGGCGAUUUGAUGCUGUGAGUUCACAGUUGAAUGAUGCUGUUUGCUAGAAACUCAGCAAUGAUGGAUAAAACACGAAAGUGAAAACUAAAAGAUAGAUUGGGGCUCAACUACAAGAUAAACAUCUUCACGGAUUGGACACACAGAAACACAAGCUGAAGCCAUGGGCUUGCUGGACCCUGGGUCCAGAUCAGGUUGUGAGGGUUAUCUAAGUAAAAAUCACUGCUGUUUGAAGAUCAGAGCUGAAGAGACGCCUACUGAACAUGCUCAUGAAAGGACCCCAAAAACAAAAGGCUACAAAAUGCUGCUGAAGGAAAACAUUUUCAGAUCAUACAUCUGAUGAGGGACUUGUAUCUAGAUUAUACAAAAAAUUCUUACAACUCCACAAUAAAAAGACAAAUAACCCAAUUAAAAAUGGUCAAAAGACCUGAAUAGACAUUUCUCCAAAGAAGAUACUCAGGCAGCCAAUGAACACAUGAAAAGGUGCUCAAUGUCAUUAGUCAUCAGGGACAUUCAAAUUAAAACCACAGUAAGAUACCACUUCACACCCCCUAGGAUGGUUCUAAUAAAAACAAUGGGCAAGUGCUAACAAAGACAUGGAGGAAAUGGAAUCCUCAUAUAUUGCUUGUGGGAAUGUAAAAUGGUGCAGCUGCAUGAAAAACAUUUUGGCAGUUCCUCAAAAAGCUAAGCCUAGAAUUAGCACAUGACAAAGUAAUUCCACUCCUAGGCAUAUACCCCAGAAAGCUGAAAAUAAUUGUCCAUAUAAAAACUUGUACAGGGGCCGGCCCCGUGGCCGAGUGGUUAAGUUCACCCUCUCCGCUGAGGUGGCCCCAGGUUUCGCUGGUUCGGAUCCUGGGCGUGGACAUGGCACCACUCAUCAGGCCACAUUGAGGUGGUGUCCCACGUGCCACACUAGAAGGGCCCACAACUAAAAUAUACAACUAUGUACUGGGGGGAUUUGGGGAGAAAAAGCAGAAAGGAAAAAAAAGAUUGGCAACAGUUGUUAGCUCAGGUGCCAAUCUUAAAAAAAAAAAACAAAAAAACUUGUACAGAAAGGCUCAUAGCAGGUGCUAGGGACUGAAUAGUGUUCCUUCUGAAUUCAUAUGCUGAAGCCCUGCCCUCCAGCAUGAGGGUAUUUGGAGGUGGAGCCUACAGGAGAUAAUUAGAUUUGGAUGAGCUCAUAAUGGUGGGGCCUCCCUGAUGGGAUUAGUGCCCUCAUAAGAAGAAACACCAGAGAGCUUACUCUCUUUCUGUCUACCACGUAAGGACACAGUAAGCCAGGAAGGCAGUUCUCACCAGGACCCCAUUAUCCUGCCACUUUGAUCUCAGACUUCCAGCCUCCAGAAUUGUGAGAAAUGAAUUUCUGUUGUUUCAACCACCUAGUCUAUAGUAUUUUGUUAUGGCAGCCUGAAAUGACUAAGAUAGAUUUUAGUAGAAAGUGGGCUGCUGCUGUAACAAAUACCUAAACAUGUGGAAGCAAUUUUGGAACUGAGUAAUGAGUAGAGGCCAGAAGAAUUUUGAGGUGCAUGCUAGAAAUAUGGAUGUUACAAUUUUGACACUAAUUCCAAUGUGUGGGUUUUUUCCCCACACCAAGCAAUUCUCUGGCGCUAGCUGGGUGUCCUACAAUUCAGCUCAAUUCUGACACUGCCUACCUGAAGAUAGCAUCAUAUUCCACAGGUAAAGGGCUCAGUCCCAUGAGACCGCCCACGCUUCAGAUGCCAAUCGCAAGUCCAGGUUGUUAACUGUGCUUCUGACUGACUGGCUGUAAAUGAGAGGUUCCUACAACCCCCGCCUUGGGUUUGAUUAGUUUAUGAGAGCAGCUCAUGGAACUCAGGAAACAGGUUUACACACUAGAUUACCAGUUUAUUACAAAGGAUGUUAAAGGAUAACAAAUCAACAGCCAGAUGAAGAGCUACAUAGGGUGAGGUCCUGAACAAAGGAACUCUAUCUUCAUGGAGUUGGGGCCUGGCACAGUGGCACAUGGAUGCAUUCUGGUUCAUUAAUUUGGAAGCUCUUCAAACUCUAUCCUUUUGUGUUCUUAUGGAGGCAUCAUUACGUAGGCACAAUUGAGUAAAUCAUUGGCCAUUGGCAAUUGAACUCAAUCUCCAGCCCCCCUUCCCUCCUUAGAUGUCCAGGGUUGGGACUGGAAGUUCUAAUCAUCUAAUCACAUGGUUGGUUCCUCUGUCAACUAAUCUCCAUCCUUGGAUUACUUAGGGGCUUUCCAAAAGUCACCUCAUUAACGUAAGAAAGACACCUGUAUAGCUCUCAUCACUCAGGAAAUUCCAAGAGUUUUAGGAAUUCUGUGCUAGGAACAGGACAGUGAGCAAAUAUCUAUUUCUUAUUAUAAAUCACAAUAUCACAGAUGUUAAUGGCAAUUCUGGUGAGGUCAUGGAAAUGAGAAACAUGUCACUGAAAACUGGAGCGAAGGCAAUCCUUGUUAUAAAGUGGCAAAGAACUUGGCUGAACUAUGUUCUAGUGUUUUGUGGAAGGUAGAAUUUGUGAGUGAUAUAAUUGGCUAUCUAGCUGAGGAGAUUCUAAGCAAAGUAUUGAAGGAGCAGCCUCAUUCCACCUGACUACUUACAAUAAAAUACGAAAGGAGAGAGAUGAAUUGAAGAAGGAAUUGUUAACCAAAAAGGAAGGAGAACUUGAAGAUUUGGAAAACUCUCAGCCUAUACAUAUUGCAAAAAGUAAGAAAACUUGUUCUGAAGAGAAUGCUAAGCAUGUGGCAGAAGAGAUCACGGGUGCAACUCAUGGACUUAAUCAGCUAUCUCAGCAGAAGCCAAAAGAAAUAGAGAUGGUAUUAUACUAGCAAAGACACUUCCAGUUUGAACUAAAGGGGACAGAGAAAGAAGGACGGAAUGUAAGAAGGCUGUCAGAUUCUUGGAUUCUCCAGGACUGGACUAUAGAGAUAUUCAUCUACAAAUGUGCACUAUUCUUCAUAAAAACAGAAGAAUGACCCCCGAGGCAAUCAGAGAUCAUAAGAGCUGCCUUCUUGGUUUCAAAGAGUGAGGUCACUGCCUCAAUUUCAACAGGCCAAAGGGCCUCCACCCUAGAGCUUUGGGGGUGGGGCCACCCAGAGCCUUGGAGGCAGGACCCCAGCCUGGCAGAGCCUUGGGGGCGCAAUCUCUGCCUAGCAGAGCUGAGGGGGCAGGAUUGCCACCUGAGUGAGUCGUAAAGGUAGAACUGCCAACCCAGUGGUUCUGGAUAGUGAGAUAUCAAGCCAAAGUAGGAUUAUUUUCAAGCCUUGAGACCUAAUGGAAUUUGCCUCACUAGGUUUUGGACUUGCCUGGGACCUGUCAUGCUGUCUUUCUUUCCUAGUUCUCCCUUUUGGAAUGGGGAUGUCCAUUCUAUGCCUGUCCCUCAAUUGGAUUGCACAUAAUUUAUCUGGUUUCACAGGUUCACAGCUGGAGAGGACCUUUCCCUCAGGAUGAAUAAUACCUUGAAUUGCACCCAUAUCUGAUGAUAUUUAGAUGAGACUACGGACUUCAGACUUUAGAGUUAAUGCUGGAAUGACUUAAGAUUUUGGGGCCUGUUGAAGUGAAAUUAAUGUAUUUUGCAUGUGAGAAGAACAUGAAUUUUGGGAGGCACAGAAUGCUAUGGACUGAAUUAUGUCCCUCUUAACGUUCAUAUGUUGAAGCCCUAACUCACAAUGCGAUAGUAUUUGGAGAUGGGACCUUUGGGAGGUGAUUAGGUUUAGAUGAGGUCAUGAGAAUGGAGCCCUCCUGAUGGGAUUAGUGCCUUUAUAGGAAAAGACACCAGAGCACUCGCCCUCUCUCUACCACGUGAGGAUACAACAAGAAGGCAACCAUGUGCGAGCCAAGAAAAGAGCCCUCACAAGAAACUGACCAUGUUGGCACCCUGAUCUCAGACUUUUAGCUUCCACCCAGUCUAUAGUAUUUAGUUACAGCAGCGUGAGAUGACUAAGACAGUAGGAUUGUUCAUGAAUCAAAGAGCGGAAACAACCCAAAAGUCCAUCAGUUGGAAUUGGCAGGGGGGCACUAAUACAUCUAAUAAUGAGAGUUUAUUGAGCCAAGUGCUUAAGUACUUUCCAGAUGCUAUUCUAAUCCUGAGAAAGAUUUUGCAAGGUAUUCUUAAAAAACAAAAUUCAGUGGCGUAAGUUUGAAGACCUAACUGCUUUAUUCAAUGAUUCAUGACUUGGGCAGCAUCUCACCUAGCAAGAAGAAAGGAGCCCUGAAGAGCUGUGCAAAAUGGAAGGCUUGUAGAGUGAGAAGGAGGUGGAUGAGGAAGUAAUUAAUAAAGAGUUGAUUGCUUCAGCAAGGUCACUCGUCUUUGGGGGACGGAAGUUGUCUAUCAGGUGGAUUACCUCAUUACUGCUGACCGGCUAUUUCCCAAUUGACUGGUUAAAGUUUACCUUCCUGGGACGGGCUGCAACUGCAGUUAGGUUAGGUCUUAAGUCUGGGUUUGCUGACUUGGGGCUUAAUACAAGUGACUCCAUUUUAGGCCUGUUGUCUCUUUUAUUUUUUUUUCCAACAGUAUUUACCUAAAAGAAAUACGGACACGCGCAUCAAAAGACACUUAUAACAGCAACAUCUAUGAAAGCCCUAAAAUGAGACAACUCAAGUUCCUACAUAAAUCAAUUGUGACUUAUUUGUUCAGUGGAAUACUUGACAGCGACAGAAAUAAACAAACCACAACUACACAAAUGAACCUCACAAACAGUGUUGAAAGAUGCCAGGCACAAAGAAUAUGUAAUGUAUGAGGUUGAAUAGAAAUAACGUGACUAGGGAUGUGUGGUUAGGUGGUAAAACUGUAAGAAAAAGCACAGAAGUGCUUCCUGUUGACAAUAGUUCUCUCCUUGACCAAACUCUAGCCAGGCUCCUCUGAGCCUCUUCCCGACUAGGCCUAUAAAACUUACUGAUUCUCACCCCUGUGCCCUCACAAACUUAAACACUAACAGAGUUUCUAGCAGCAAAAGGCCGCAUCCCCAGGGUGACCCUAGGCCCACCUUGAAGUGUCUGCCUGAGAAAGCGCAAAGCUGCCCAGAGAACUUCCUGUUUGUUCUGCUAACACCCGAAAGCAGAGCACUUGCUAAAAAGGCCUUAGAACAGUGAAUUCUUCCUGUCUCUUUGAGAUGCAUGUGUAUCUCCUACAACUCAGGAGUGACUUUCUCAAGGAUCUGAGAGCCAUUCCUUUAAAUGUAAUCAUCAACAGGAUAGCACCUCUGUCCUCAGUCUCUGUGGGAGGACAGACUCCUAACUCUAACUGCCAGAGAACAGACACAGCUGGCCUGAUCAGCAUUUACACUCACCAACUCUUUGUAAUUUUUCGCUUCCCUGACUCCGUGGAGCCCCCACUUUCCCCUCUUCCUACUCCCUCAUUCUCGUUUUAAAAGACCCAGUCAUCUCUGUACAAAUCGAAGUUGCAAAAGUAUAGCACUGACACUGAUUAAAGUCUGUCCUUGCCACUCCCACUGGCAUCUGGCCUUGGGGGGCAGGAGGAUAGUGAUGGGAGGGGCGCCAAGGGGGCUUCCGG
rnacentral:lncRNA from 1 species